rnacentral:rRNA from 1 species
CAGCAGGCGCGAAAACUUUACAAUGCUGGCAACAGCGAUAAGGGGACCUUGAGUGCCAGGAUACAAUCCUGGCUGUCGUGAUGCCUAAAAAGCAUUAUAUAGCAAGGGCCGGGCAAGACCGGUGCCAGCCGCCGCGGUAACACCGGCGGCUCGAGUGGUAACCGCUAUUAUUGGGUCUAAAGGGUCUGUAGCCGGCUUGGUUAGUCUCUUGGGAAAUCCGGCAGCUUAACUGUCGGGCUUUCAGGAGAUACUGCCAGGCUCGAGACCGGGAGAGGUGAGAGGUACUUCAUGGGUAGGGGUGAAAUCUUGUAAUCCUUGAAGGACCACCAGUGGCGAAGGCGUCUCACCAGAACGGAUCUGACGGCAAGGGGCGAAAGCUAGGGGCACGAACCGGAUUAGAUACCCGGGUAGUCCUAGCCGUAAACGAUACUCGCUAGGUGUCGGCCACGGUGCGACCGUGGUCGGUGCCGUAGGGAAGCCGUGAAGCGAGCCACCUGGGAAGUACGGCCGCAAGGCUGAAACUUAAAGGAAUUGGCGGGGGAGCACAAGGGCGAAUCGCG